GCUCAAAUUUGAAAUCUGGCGUGCUCAGCGCGUCCGAGUUGUAAUCUAUAGAGACGUUUUCCGUGCCGGACCGUGUCCAAGUUCCUUGGAACAGGAUAUCAAAGAGGGUGACAAUCCCGUACUUGACACGACCCCCGGUGCUCUGUGAUACGUCCUCUACGAGUCGAGUUGUUUGGGAAUGCAGCUCAAAAUGGGUGGUGAGUUCCAUCUAAAGCUAAAUAUUGGCGAGAGACCGAUAGCGAACAAGUACCGUGAGGGAAAGAUGAAAAGCACUUUGGAAAGAGAGUUAAACAGUACGUGAAAUUGUUAAAAGGGAAACGAUUGAAGUCAGUCGUGUCCGGGAGGCUCAGCCGAUCUUCGGUGUAUUCCUCUCGGACGGGUCAACAUCAGUUUUGUCCGGCGGAUAAGGGUGGCGGGAAGGUAGCACCUUCUUGGUGUGUUAUAGCCCGUCAUCGCAUACGUUGGGUGAGACUGAGGAAUGCAGCUCGCCUUCAUUGGCCGGGGUUCGCCCACGUUCGAGCUUAGGAUG
rnacentral:rRNA from 1 species